UGUUGCUGCACCUGUUUUUGCUUCUAUCUCACAUUAUAGGACUAACAGCUGGAGACUCAAUCACUCCUGAACGAGCUGAAGUCACUGAAACAGAAGGAAAAACUGUCACACUGAAAUAUAUCCCUCUUCUGGACCAAAUCACUGGACCUGCCCGGGUGUGGCAGCGUGUGUGGAGUUUUGGAGCGAGUGCGGCUGAAGAGGAGUGCGUG